GUUUAGGGGUAAACCUGAGAAACCCGAAAGGUCGAAGGGAGAAAUUCAUUCGCGUUUCGUCAUCGGCGGUUAGCUGUCGUGCGACGGAAACGUCAUUUGUCGUUUUCGCACCUUCAGUUAGUCGAACCGGAGACGAACGCGUGCACUUUUCUCCUGGUAGGACGUCGCGAUCCGUCGGGUGUCGGUCUACGGCUCACGGUGGAGCCCGUUCGUCGUUUUUCGGAACGUGUACGAGCGGACCCGUGUGUUUCCCGACCGACCCGCUCGACGGUAUACGAAUGGUUCGGAGCCGCUUAUUGAGCGUUCGGCUCGUGGCAAGCGCAUCAGAUGUCGUUGGCAAUCGGACCUAGUGCCGAUUCUAACCUCUGACGACUGUUGGCUGCGAAGUUCUCGAACAGACUCCGUUUCUCCUGUGAGAAAAAACCGAUCUGCGACGCUAUAGCUUUGGGUACUUUCAGGACCCGUCUUGAAACACGGACCAAGGAGUCUAGCAUGUACGCAAGUCAUUGGGAAUCACUAAACCUAAAGGCGUAAUGAAAGUAAAGGUUUUCCUUGCGAAAACCUAGGGAAGACGAGCGGCUCGCCCUUAAAAGCGUCCGUUCCGCAUUCCCGGGGCGUCUCGUUCUCAUCGCGAGAAGAGGCGCACCAAGAGCGUACACGCUGGGACCCGAAAGAUGGUGAACUAUGCCUGGUCAGGACGAAGUCAGGGGAAACCCUGAUGGAGGUCCGUAGCGAUUCUGACGUGCAAAUCGAUCGUCGGAACUGGGUAUAGGGGCGAAAGACUAAUCGAACCAUC
rnacentral:rRNA from 1 species